rnacentral:antisense_RNA from 1 species
AAAGGGGCUACAAGGGAUCCAUGGAAAGAGCAUUCCCAGAAGGGGGGCCAGGGCAGUGCGCACAGUGAGGAGAGCAGCUGUGUGCAAGGUUGAAACAAAACGUUCAAAGCCCCCUUGGAAGCCCAUUCACAGGUGUGUGACUGUGAACCACAUCGUAAUCUCCUAGAAAGCAAGAACAUCAGGCUUACAUUUUUCACUUGCCUCUCAGGGCUCAGUGCUCUGCAGUAUAUACAUUGAGGAAACUGGGCCCUGACACAUUAACUUGCCCAAAAGAUCACAGUGGGCAACAUUCUAGAGCACAAACAAUGGAAGCUGACAGCAAUGUCAGCAAAGAUGGAAAACAGAACGUGGAGAGAGAUGUAGCUUACUAGAGCCCUGUGGCUUCAGUCCCCACCAGGAAUGUCGUUUAAGAGGAAGAGAAGCAGCCUCGGGGAGGGGGCGGGGCUGGGGAAUCCCUGGCCUCUCUCCUUUCCUUCUGGCUGAUCUUCUGCCAGAGACCUGCAACAGGAAGCUGGGGGCCAGGAAGCCUGUGGAUGCCCUGAAGAAGAAUGAGUGAUCUGAAAGGGCAGUAGAACAGUACUAGAAUCCAGUGCAAAGGCCCUGGGGCAGGAGUUCACAUGAGAAGUGGGUAGAAGGAACCAGCCUAUGAUCCAGGAACACAGUGAACAAGAUUUGGAAAGCUGACAGAGAAUAUGAGGCCUCCUCUCCAAACAGAAACUCCAGGAGGCUUGGUUGAUUCACUGACACAUGCACAGUGCUGAGCACAGUACCAGACACCAGAGUCUGUGUUCCAGAAAUGGAAGAAUAGGUGAGUAAUGAAAGGCUAAGUAAGCAAAUUCUUUGCAAAUGGGGAAAAGAUUGAAUGUAUAGGACUGCACAUAUCAGAAGCCCCCUGGAAUCUCUGCAUCCAGAAGAUUGCAGUCACCUUCGAAGCACUCACCACCAGAGGCUACUCGCACACUCUCCUGUGGCAGCCGUUCACCUCGGCCCUUUUCCUAGGGAUUUGACUUCAAGUCCCAGAAUGGGCCUCAGGGUCUUUGCAUUUGCCUUUCUAUGAGUCUGGAACACCACCCACCCCCUCACCUGUGGGCAGGCAAAGCACCUCCUGUGUUCAUGUCAUCUCCUGUACCAAGCCCUUCCUGAUGACCAACUUGGAGCCGGGUGCCCUCUAUCCAUGCCUCCAUGGCCCCCUAUGAUAAUGUCCCCCAUAUCACUUAUCAUUCUGCUCGUGAAUUUGGCUUCAUUAAUCUUGCAACAACCCCAGAGUAUUAGGCCACCACCUCUCAUGCCCGACAGAGUCCAUGGCAGAAGGUGGGCUCUCAGAUUUUAGCUGCGCUCCUGAAUGAAAGAAUCAAUAAAAGCCACACAGCAUUAAGUGGCAGACUCUAGUAAUUUAAUUCCUGGUCCCGGGCUCUUUGAUAUAAAAUAACUCUUCUAUUUUUAAUACACCCCACAUUCCUGAAGAUGACACUACUGCAAAAUUAAAGAAAUGUGAUGAACAGCUUACAACCUGCAACACACUCGGCAGCUCAAAAUGACAACAUUAAUUUAAUGAACUUAAACACUGGUGAACUUUUUAACACAUCCGGAGUUAUUUACACUGGGAAAUGCAUACUUAAGAUUGCCUGCCAAAGAGACUCAAAUAGAGAUGACACAUAUAUCUUUCACAUGUUAAUCUGCAUUUUAAACUUUGAGCUUUGAUACAAGUUGGCUUUUCUCUUUUGGAAUGAAGAAAUCAAGAGACUACUUUUUUACCCAUCCAUCCAUCCAUCUAUCCAUCUAUCCAUCCAUCCAGCCACAUCUUUCCUAAGUGACAGGAUAUAUCACACACUAACUGUGUGCACAGCACUCUACCUAAAGAUCAGCGCUAACAGAGGAAUAAGCAGAGGCCUCCAGGAGCAAAGAGUGAAGAGUCUGGCAAGGCUUCAAGUACAGGGGUAAGUGGAUGGAGCUUUCACUGUAGAAUCUUUCCUGGAGAAAAAGCAAACAGUGGGGCAACAAUAAAGGCAUUAAAAAUAACUGUCAAGUUG